UAAGGAAUAUUGGUCAAUGGAGGCAACUCUGAACCAGCCAUGCCGCGUGCAGGAAGACGGCCCUAUGGGUUGUAAACUGCUUUUGUACGGGAGAAAACCCUUUCACGUGUGGGAGGUUGAUAGUACCGUAAGAAUAAGCAUCGGCUAACUUCGUGCCAGCAGCCGCGGUAAGACGAAGGAUGCAAGCGUUAUCCGGAUUCAUUGGGUUUAAAGGGAGCGUAGGUGGACUUGUAAGUCAGUGGUGAAAUCUCUCAGCUUAACUGAGAAACUGCCAUUGAUACUGCAGGUCUUGAGUACAGAUGAUGUGGGCGGAAUAUGACAUGUAGUGGUGAAAUACUUAGAUAUGUCAUAGAACACCGAUUGCGAAGGCAGAUCACUAAUAAUUCACUGACGCUGAGGGACGAAAGCGUAGGUAGCGAACAGGAUUAGAUACCCUGGUAGUCUACGCCGUAAACGAUGGUUACUAGCUGUUUGGCUCGAUUGAGAGCUGAGUGGCUAAGCGAAAGUGAUAAGUAACCCACCUGGGGGGUACGUUCGCAAGAAUGAAACUCAAAGGAAUUGACGGGGGCCCGCACAAGCGGUGGAGCAUGUGGUUUAAUUCGAUGAUACGCGAGGAACCUUACC
rnacentral:rRNA from 1 species